GUCGUAACAAGGUCUCCGUUGGUGAACCAGCGGAGGGAUCAUUACCGAGUUUUCAACUCCCUAACCCUUAUGUGAACCUACCUAUUGUUGCUUCGGCGGACUCGCCCCAGCCGGACGCGGACUGGACCAGCGGCCGCCGGGGACCCUCAAACUCUUGUAUUAUCAGCAUCUUCUGAAUACGCCGCAAGGCAAAACAAAUAAAUCAAAACUUUCAACAACGGAUCUCUUGGCUCUGGCAUCGAUGAAGAACGCAGCGAAAUGCGAUAAGUAAUGUGAAUUGCAGAAUCCAGUGAAUCAUCGAAUCUUUGAACGCACAUUGCGCCCGCCAGCAUUCUGGCGGGCAUGCCUGUUCGAGCGUCAUUUCAACCCUCGACCUCCCUUUGGGGAAGUCGGCGUUGGGGACCGGCAGCACACCGCCGGCCCUGAAAUAGAGUGGCGGCCCGUCCGCGGCGACCUCUGCGUAGUAAUCCAACUCGCACCGGAACCCCGACGCGGCCACGCCGUAAAACACCCAACUUCUGAACGUUGACCUCGAAUCAGGUAGGACUACCCGCUGAACUUAAGC
rnacentral:rRNA from 1 species